AAUACAUAUGUAAAGAUCAUUAAAGACCUUUAAAGCUGUCAACAUGGUUAGAAUUGUGAUUUUGGUUUUAUUUGCGGUUAUCCUAAUAAACAAUGCUGCAGGCGAACCAUGCUCGCAAGAUUCUAAUUGUCAACUAGAAAGUUGUUCUUGGGGAUCGCAUGUUGUAUGCGUUAGGGGAAUCUGUACGUGUGUUGAGUUUUGCAGUAACGAAGACGCUACAUGCCAAGGUCGACUUGAGUGCGUUCAAAAUGCUCAACAACAUGGCUGUCCAUGUGAUGAUACUUGGCACUGCAUAGACAACCACUGUGCUUGUGGUUUCCCAAAUAUCAAUGGUACACCUGCAAGGUACAAAAAAUAGAGAAGCAGUUACGACUACGCCCUUCAACUUUAUGUUUUUUUUUUUAAAUAUUAAAUUAAAUUAAAUCGUUCAUUAUAUUAUACUGAA